AGUUCUGAUUAUUGAAAGGUGCUUGCAUCUUGAUUUAAUUUUGAACGAGUGGCGGACGGGUGAGUAACACGUGGGUAACCUGCCCUUAAGUGGGGGAUAACAUUUGGAAACAGAUGCUAAUACCGCAUAAAUCCAAGAACCGCAUGGUUCUUGGCUGAAAGAUGGCGUAAGCUAUCGCUUUUGGAUGGACCCGCGGCGUAUUAGCUAGUUGGUGAGGUAACGGCUCACCAAGGCAAUGAUACGUAGCCGAACUGAGAGGUUGAUCGGCCACAUUGGGACUGAGACACGGCCCAAACUCCUACGGGAGGCAGCAGUAGGGAAUCUUCCACAAUGGACGCAAGUCUGAUGGAGCAACGCCGCGUGAGUGAAGAAGGCUUUCGGGUCGUAAAACUCUGUUGUUGGAGAAGAAUGGUCGGCAGAGUAACUGUUGUCGGCGUGACGGUAUCCAACCAGAAAGCCACGGCUAACUACGUGCCAGCAGCCGCGGUAAUACGUAGGUGGCAAGCGUUAUCCGGAUUUAUUGGGCGUAAAGCGAGCGCAGGCGGUUUUUUAAGUCUGAUGUGAAAGCCCUCGGCUUAACCGAGGAAGUGCAUCGGAAACUGGGAAACUUGAGUGCAGAAGAGGACAGUGGAACUCCAUGUGUAGCGGUGAAAUGCGUAGAUAUAUGGAAGAACACCAGUGGCGAAGGCGGCUGUCUGGUCUGUAACUGACGCUGAGGCUCGAAAGCAUGGGUAGCGAACAGGAUUAGAUACCCUGGUAGUCCAUGCCGUAAACGAUGAAUGCUAGGUGUUGGAGGGUUUCCGCCCUUCAGUGCCGCAGCUAACGCAUUAAGCAUUCCGCCUGGGGAGUACGACCGCAAGGUUGAAACUCAAAGGAAUUGACGGGGGCCCGCACAAGCGGUGGAGCAUGUGGUUUAAUUCGAAGCAACGCGAAGAACCUUACCAGGUCUUGACAUCUUUUGAUCACCUGAGAGAUCAGGUUUCCCCUUCGGGGGCAAAAUGACAGGUGGUGCAUGGUUGUCGUCAGCUCGUGUCGUGAGAUGUUGGGUUAAGUCCCGCAACGAGCGCAACCCUUAUGACUAGUUGCCAGCAUUUAGUUGGGCACUCUAGUAAGACUGCCGGUGACAAACCGGAGGAAGGUGGGGAUGACGUCAAAUCAUCAUGCCCCUUAUGACCUGGGCUACACACGUGCUACAAUGGAUGGUACAACGAGUUGCGAGACCGCGAGGUCAAGCUAAUCUCUUAAAGCCAUUCUCAGUUCGGACUGUAGGCUGCAACUCGCCUACACGAAGUCGGAAUCGCUAGUAAUCGCGGAUCAGCACGCCGCGGUGAAUACGUUCCCGGGCCUUGUACACACCGCCCGUCACACCAUGAGAGUUUGUAACACCCGAAGCCGGUGGCGUAACCC
rnacentral:rRNA from 1 species